rnacentral:rRNA from 1 species
CUGCGGAAGGUCAUUACUAGAGCAAAGGAUAGACAGCGCCCGCGGAGCUCGCUCCCGGGGCUACCCUACUCCCGUAGGGUUUAGAGUCGUCGGGCCUCUCGGAGAAGCUCGGUCCUGAACUCCACCCUUGAAUAAACUACCUUUGUUGCUUUGGCGGGCCGCCUCGUGCCAGCGGCUUCGGCUGUUGAGUGCCCGCCAGAGGACCCCAACUCUUGUUUUUAGUGAUGUCUGAGUACUAUAUAAUAGUUAAAACUUUCAACAACGGAUCUCUUGGUUCUGGCAUCGAUGAAGAACGCAGCGAAAUGCGAUAAGUAAUGUGAAUUGCAGAAUUCAGUGAAUCAUCGAAUCUUUGAACGCACAUUGCGCCCUCUGGUAUUCCGGGGGGCAUGCCUGUUCGAGCGUCAUUAUAACCACUCAAGCUCUCGCUUGGUAUUGGGGUUCGCGGUUUCGCGGCCCCUAAAAUCAGUGGCGGUGCCUGUCGGCUCUACGCGUAGUAAUACUCCUCGCGAUUGAGUCCGGUAGGUCUACUUGCCAGCAACCCCUAAUUUUUUUUAAGGUUGACCUCGGAUCAGGUAGGGAUACCCGCUGAACUUAAGCAUAUCAAUAAGCGGAGGAAAAGAAACCAACAGGGAUUACCUCAGUAACGGCGAGUGAAGCGGUAACAGCUCAAAUUUGAAAGCUGGCUCUUUUAGGGUCCGCGUUGUAAUUUGUAGAAGAUGCUUCGGGUGUGGCCCCGGUCU